rnacentral:lncRNA from 1 species
GAUACGCAAACAGAGGAUGCACGGAUCUCUGGCCACAAGGCGGUCCCGUCUAGAGCUGCAAGAAGAACCGCGUCCAUGGCUGGAUAGCGGUCCGGUCCGGUCCAAAAUAAGGCUACCGACGUGUCGCGGGAAUUCACUAUACAAUUGCCAGUAGCCACUGAGUUUACCACUGAUAGGCCGGCGGUGCAUCAAUAUACACACUCACCUCACGCAGCGAACGACUCACUUUCAGCUCACUUCUUCUGAAAAUGCACAUUUAUUAUUUAUUAUUACAUUUUUUUGCCUCUCUCUGCCCACAUACUGUAUUUGGAUGCAGCUAAAUUCUAAAAAAAAAAACUAAGUUUCUAUUAUUAUAUUUUACUUGUUCUUGUUGUCAGACAAUAUAAAGAGAAGAAGAAGAAGAAGAAGAAAAAGAAGGGAGAAGAAGUGGAUGAAGAGGAACCGGAUGAGAGCAUGUUGGACUGGUGGUCCAAAUACUUUGCCUCAGUAGAGACUAUGAUGGAGAAUCUCAGAGCCCAGGAGGCUGCUCUGGCAGAGGCAGAGGAAAGAGAAGAUUUGGAGAUAGCAGCAGAGAGUGCAGAGAUCAAAGCUGAUGACUUUCCUGUGAAAGGCACCAAACUCAAGGAGAAGAGCAAAGACAAGAAGAGCUCCAAGGACAAAAAGAAGAACCAUGAUGGGACAGAAAAACGACCUCCAAAACCAAAAGUUGAUGAACUUGUGGUCAGUGCUUCUUGACUGUUCAAAAGUUUGGGGUCACUGAGUUAAAAAAUUCCAAAUUCAAAAAAUUCAAAUCUUCCUGAUCCUUUUGAACAUGUGUUAGCUACACUGUGAUCUGUAGCAAUUCAUACUUGUAACGAUGAAUAACUCGACUUGGGAUCCAUUUGCAAGCUUUUAUUUGAACACUCGUAGUCGUACAGGCGAAGGGUCAGGAUCAGCAAACACAGUGUCACAGGAAUAUCAGAAUCGUAGUCAAUACCAAGCAGUGGGUCGGGGUAACAAGCAAUUAUCACAGUCCGUAUAACAAUCAGGGUUCAAAGGUAGGCAGCAAAGGUUCACAGGUCGAUAAACAACAGAGGUAGGCAACUGGGAAAACAAGACAGGGUAAAACGCUCAGAAAUGUUAGCCGUGGCAGUAACAAGACCUCGCAAAGAGGUGAUGCAAAGGUCUGGCUUAUAUGGCAGUCUCUGAUAGGGAACACCUGGCCGGUGAUCAGUCCAAGGUACGGGGCUUAUGGGUAAUGUAGUCAGUAUCAGUGUACGUGAGUGUUUGGAUGCAUGUAAGUGUCAGUAUUCGGGUGAUGGUGCCCUCUGCUGGCCACUGGAGGGACUCACGGGGUUCGUAUCCGUGACAUAUGUACACAUAGCAAAGUACUUUUAUAAAAUUUUACUAAACACAAGCAAUAUUAUACUGUUACAGAAUAUAAAACUAAAUAAACUACUUAAUAUGUACACACAGCACAAAGUAUUUAAAAUGUAACCAAACACAGCAAACACAAACAAUAUUAAAAGAAAAUAAGUUGCAGAAUAUGAAACUAAAUAAAUCUAACCUAAUAAGUAUACAAAGAAUAAGAUAAAAUAGAAGAGAAUAAGUGAAAAUGUGCAGUUUGUGGUGCAAUUAUUAAAAUUGCAAAACCAGUGCAGUUUAGUUAAAGUUGAAUAAAGGAAGGUCCAUCAUGUCCAUUUCCAUCAGCCUUAACACGCUGAUGAUGCAAAAUAGUGUAGCGCAUGUCUGCCUCCAAUCUGCGCUGAAGCUCCUCACAAAGUUCUGACAAUUGUGGGUUCCUGUGAGAUGGAGACCUCACAAUCCACACUGGCCUUCCAUCAACAAUGGCAUCCUCCUCGUCAGACAUCAGCUCCACUGUUGCAGUCUGCCAAAGCUCUCUCUCUGCAUCGGUUUGAACAACCUUGGACCUGGAAUCCAGCAACUGCAAAACAACACAAUGUGUUAACCACUAAAAAAACCCCAGAAAAUGUAAUCAAACUUAAAGGAAUAGUUCACUCAAAAAUGAAAAUUGUCAAUGUACUCACUCUCAUGUUGU